GACGAACGCUGGCGGCGUGCUUAACACAUGCCAUUCGAACGGAAAGGCCCUGCUUUUGUGGGGUGCCCGAGUGGCGAACGGGUGAGUAACACGUGAGUAACCUGCCCUUGACUUUGGGAUAACUUCAGGAAACUGGGGCUAAUACCGGAUAGGAGCUCCUGCUGCAUGGUGGGGGUUGGAAAGUUUCGGCGGUUGGGGAUGGACUCGCGGCUUAUCAGCUUGUUGGUGGGGUAGUGGCUUACCAAGGCUUUGACGGGUAGCCGGCCUGAGAGGGUGACCGGCCACAUUGGGACUGAGAUACGGCCCAGACUCCUACGGGAGGCAGCAGUGGGGAAUAUUGCACAAUGGGCGGAAGCCUGAUGCAGCAACGCCGCGUGCGGGAUGACGGCCUUCGGGUAGUAAACCGCUUUCGCCUGUGACGUAGCGUGAGUGACGGUAAUGGGUACAGAAGCACCGGCUAACUACGUGCCAGCAGCCGCGGUGAUACGUAGGGUGCGAGCGUUGUCCGGAUUUAUUGGGCGUAAAGGGCUCGUAGGUGGUUGAUCGCGUCGGAAGUGUAAUCUUGGGGCAUAACCCUGAGCGUGCUUUCGAUACGGGUUGACUUGAGGAAGGUAGGGGAGAAUGGAAUUCCUGGUGGAGCGGUGGAAUGCGCAGAUAUCAGGAGGAACACCAGUGGCGAAGGCGGUUCUCUGGGCCUUUCCUGACGCUGAGGAGCGAAAGCGUGGGGAGCGAACAGGCUUAGAUACCCUGGUAGUCCACGCUGUAAACGGUGGGUACUAGGUGUGGGGUCCAUUCCACGGGUUCCGUGCCGUAGCUAACGCUUUAAGUACCCCGCCUGGGGAGUACGGCCGCAAGGCUAAAACUCAAAGGAAUUGACGGGGCCCCGCACAAGCGGCGGAGCAUGCGGAUUAAUUCGAUGCAACGCGUAGAACCUUACCUGGGUUUGACAUGGAUCGGGAGUGCUCAGAGAUGGGUGUGCCUCUUUUGGGGUCGGUUCACAGGUGGUGCAUGCCUGUCGUCAGCUCGUGUCGUGAGAUGUUGGGUUAAGUCCCGCAACGAGCGCAACCCUUGUUCACUGUUGCCAGCACGUUAUGGUGGGGACUCAGUGGAGACCGCCGGGGUCAACUCGGAGGAAGGUGGGGAUGACGUCAAGUCAUCAUGCCCCUUAUGUCCAGGGCUUCACGCAUGCUACAAUGGCUGGUACAGAGAGUGGCGAGCCUGUGAGGGUGAGCGAAUCUCGGAAAGCCGGUCUCAGUUCGGAUUGGGGUCUGCAACUCGACCUCAUGAAGUCGGAGUCGCUAGUAAUCGCAGAUCAGCAACGCUGCGGUGAAAAAGUUCCCGGGGCU
rnacentral:rRNA from 1 species